AUAACAUUCAGACCGUUAUUUUACCGAGCAAUUUCACCCGUUCAGUGGAAGAUGUUCGCUUCGUCGU
rnacentral:pre_miRNA from 1 species